UGGGGUUGUUGGUGGUAGGUGGAUGGUUGGACUAGGUGAUCUUGUAGGUCUUUUCCAACCUAGCUCAUUCUAUGAUUCUAUGAUACUUGAAGGCUGAAGAGUCUCUGGCAGUGAAGUUUUCCAGUGUGCUGCAAACCAUUCCUUGGUUGUUGCGAUAAAGAAACUGUGAGGAUGGUAAGAAAUAAGACGUUCAUUUUAAACAAAAAAAAAAGCCAACAACUGCUAGCAGUAAUAAAAUUGGAGCAAGUAGAUAUUCCUUUCCAGAGCAGAAGGGAAUCACUUAAGAUCUGUGUUUAAUGGAGUUCUGUAGGAAUAUCCAGCUGUAUGCUAAUAACCUUCCAUCAUCAUCCCCAGGAGAUGGGCUUGUUUUUCCCAGUGUCCAUGGCUCAGUACCUGCUGGCAAUGACGUGUGACCACCUUCUGCAAGGGAGACAUGUCUUUGUUUCAGGGUCAGCCAUAAUUUCCAGUGAUGCAGCAGUAUAGCUGCUAGCUUGGAGCACAAGCACGAAGCAGCUGUAAGUCUCCAUGUACAUUUGAAGAAAGUAAGGCUGUUGGUGGCUCAUCUACUGAGAGUGAGAGUAACGACAGUGAGCAUGGCUGGGCUCUGUCGUGCCCUCUGCCGGGGUGCUAACAGGCGUAGUAGUGUGCUGCAUCUCAGAGUUACUCAGCAGAGACGUUUGGAUACUGGGGUGGCAGAAGUAGAUCCUAGCACCUGUAAAGUGAAAACGGGUUAUUACUUCUAUUGCAUGUUUUAUAUAUGUAUUUAUGUACUCUCAUUUUACUUUUUUUCCUAACAAAGCAUAACCUGGAAUGGAUGUUUUCCCCGGAGUGUUGUUACUUUGUAAGCACUAGAUGGUGCCACAGAGCAGGCAAAGGGUUUUCCUCUGCAGCCAGAGAGUGGCUAGGAUAGAUUUUACAUUUAAAUAUGCUCAAAGUAUUGAUUUUGUUAGAAACUACUACUGCUACUCAUCACUUGCAGCACCUGCCUAGAUGUCUGAAUCUACACAGUUGGUGCCAUGCUCCUCACUCAGACUGAGGGCAAAUCCUUUGUGAUAGCAUGGCUGCAUUGGGUGCUAAUGCGUGAGGCAAGCACCACACAGCCUUGCUCCUUUCUUCCCAUCUUCUUAAUGCGCUGAUAUGCAUCUCCUUCCUCCGUGCCAGUGAUUUAUCCCAGAACAAAUGGACCCCUCCAGAGGCUCAAAUCCCAGCUGUGGAGGAUAGAACCUUCCUCUCCUCUUAGCAUGGCCCUGGGAAAUCAGGUGAUGAAGAGCCAGGUUACAGAAAACAGGCAGAUGAAGAGUACAUAAAGCAGUAGCCAGUGUGCAGUUUAACUUGAUAAUGGAGAUCUUGAACUCUGAGCUGACUCUCAUGCAGCUGUAACCCUCCUUGCAGCCACUACUUCAUACGCAGUGCCUCAGACAAAAUACAGUGCACAAGUUGGGAGGGGAGAAAAAGCUAAGUGAAAAUGGACCAAGUGAGGAAGUCAGCCAUAAUGCAGCAGCGCGUUGGCUGCUGGAAGAGAGGGCUUCUCCUGGAAUUUGCCAAAAGGACUCAGCUUCAGAUAAAUGCCAUUUUCUGUUUCAUCUGCAAGGUGAGGAGAGAGGGAUGGGACCACUAUGAAGGCAGAUUGUUUGCACAGUUCUUUUUCCUUGUUUUUGCACCUUUGCUGUUCUUCCUUGACUGUAUCAUGUUGCUAACAGCUUUUUGUAUUACCUUUUUUUAGAUUGUCAGUAAUACAGAAUGUAAUAAUUCCCAAACUGGUGCAUCAUUUAUAGGGAGAAAAGCCUGUGACUGUUGUUUUCCUUAUAGCUUGUUACAUCAUGAAUAACGCUGAAUACCAUUUGUGGUAUUGUUUUGUUAUAACAAAAAUACUGACUGCUUUUACAUGCAGAUAUUGCAGUUACUACCACUCUCUUCUUUAUGGACCAGAAGGUGGGAUAUGUUAGUAAAUAGAUUCAAGAUGACCAAAGCAUGAAAAGAGACAAAGAAGGUAGUGUGAGAUCUGGAAAAGAGUGGAUACAGAAAGAAGACAGCAUGGAGGUUUCAAGACCAGUGCUCCAAGUACUCUUUGCUCUCUUAUGAUGUCCUGAGUGUAGGUAUGAAGAAAGGUAGUGAAACAACUGGGAAAUUUAUGUGCAGUUUGACAAAUAAGAGUGUUGUUAGAGCCAUAAUGUAAAUCACAUGCAUGUUUUACACAAGUCAUCAAACAAGUUGCUAUUUUUGUCAGAAAUGUGAAGGGAUUUUGAGUGUCUCUAACACUUACACUACAAUGUGUUAGGGGAAAGUAUUUUUUAUGCUGUCCCUUCAGCUACUGUCAAAUUUAUGCUACUUUAAUCAAAUAAGUUUCUUCAGUGAAGUAUCCAGAUGUACAGCAAGCAGGUAGAGAAUCUAAAGAAGUGGGAUCCUGCUAUCUGCUGCAUUGUUUCCUUUCUCCAUUUGGCAAGUGUAUAUAUUUUGUCUUUGCUGCAGCAGCAGGAGUAUAUCUUGAAUCAUUGGUAUUUUUGAGUCGUUGGUAUUUACCGUUUUUUUUUUUUCAGUUUGCCAUGAGGGGAAACUAAGCCAUUGCUCUGGUAGGAUAUUCCAGUAAAUCUUUGCUCUUUCCAGUAUUUUUUUUCUUGGGUCUCAAACAUGUUAUUAAAACCAUUGCUUUUAAUGGAUGCACUGCCAAACUUGGUUUGUACUCAUCGAAGAGAAACAAGAAAUAAAAUGAAUGUACUGUUAUAAGGCUGGAGUUGAUAGAGAGCUACUGGUCUCUGUCAGCCAUCCAGGGUGUGCUGUGCUCUGGUGACAACUACGCCAGCAUGUUGGUACUGCUUUUGUUUUUUUUUUUGUCCUCAACCAAAUAUCUCAUUCACCCAUUAUUUAUAUGUAAUCAUUAGAUUUAGGUCAUGUCCACACUGAGAGUUGUGGUGGAUUAAAUGAAGGCUUGAACUUAAAAUAUACAAACUAUUCUGCAGUAACUUUCCAUUCUGAAGCAGACUUUUAAGUGCUGUCAUAUAUCACUGAACUCUUUCUCUGACUGAGGAAUUCACGCUCCUUUGAAUUAACUGUGAUGCGGUUCAUAAUAUAGCAUGUGUCAUCUGAUAUGUAAGUACAUGUUGAGAUGGCUGGGUAAAUGCAAGUUAGUUGCUUAAAAUAUGAAUGUAAUGUUUCUCAUUAGUCUUCUAACUUAUAUCAAUGCACUUAUUAGUGUCUUUGGCUCUUUUCCCAGUUUUCCUAAACAUAAUCUCUAAACGGCAUUUAAAGAUGAUGAUGAUCUUGGUAUCCAAGUAAAUUGCUGAAAAUCCCUGGCAGUGAUUUAUUCCUCCGAUGAAGAUCUGAGUUACUCCUAGGCAGCUGUGGUGCGUUUUUUGUUCAGACCAUCAAUCUCUAAAUUACUUUUGCCCCUAUGCUUCAUUUUGAGACGACACAUUACAUAUCAACUUUUUGAGCCAGACUGUGCUAUUUCAUGGCUCUCCAGGCCUUCCAGGCUUUCUUGGAUGAGCGACUGGCAGCUCCCAGCCCUUUCACGACCUCUCACAACCAGGCUGCCAUCGGGUUGUUCCCAGCAGAAGUCAAGGACAAUGGUUGAUUAUAAUCUCAUUUCUACUGGUUGAACUCUUUCAUCAAAAGGUCUCAGUGGCAAGAAUGAGAGGCUUGCUGCAGGGUCUGGAAGGUAUGCGUCCGAGCUGCGUAAGGUUAGAACUGUCAAGGGCUAGAAUGUCUGUCACUGGCAGGAGUGGAUGAAGCACUGCAGCAGUCUGCACAGAUCUGCCCACAACAGUGGCUGCACGUACUUCAAAAGAUCACUGUCCUGAAAGGACGGAAGAGAGCCAAAAUAAAUAAAACUAUGAUUUUGUAUUUCAUCAGUGAUGCAAUCUUUGUAUUUUGUAAUUAUGGAUGUACCAAAUUAAUGUUGAGAUUGCAGAGGUGGGAGCAAAUCCUGAAGUCUUGUUCUGGAUCUGAGUCAAGAAUUGAAUGUCCCUGGGGUUCAGAGUGGGAGAUAAGUUGGAAUCCAGCAUUCUCCAAGUGCACAUCAAGUUGGAGCAGUAAACUGCCUUUCUCCCUGCUUCGUGUACUCGCCUACAUAGUGCAGCUGAUCCUCAGCUGUGUGCAAGGCACAGAUCCUCCCCACUCAGGGCAAAAGCAUCUGCUUUCUUCUUCUGUCAGAGCAUUGAAGCACUGGUUCCUGUUGCUGGAUAUCACAGAAAGAGACAAGUGGACUGUAUGACUUGUGUGGACAAGGGUGAUCUUGAAAGUGAAGAACAUGCUCUGCAAAGGUUUGCUGAGAUAUUUUAUCCUUUCUGAUGAGUUUCAAUAUUUGUUUAGGCCUCUCAUUAUCAGUACUGGACAGGCAAAGUAUCACUGAGAAAGGACAAUACUGUCUUGCUCCUUUGAGAGGAGCAGGCACAGUUGAAGAGGAGGAUGCGCAGGCAUGGGGUAAGGCAGCAUUAUAGCAGCCCUGCAUUCUCCUAAUUUUAAACGAUAAGAUUUCCACUCUAUUGCAAUGUUCUUGAUGCUCCCAUCCUGAAGAGGGGGAGGACAGGAGCCAUUCAGUUGUCAUCUGCAUGUGUCCACAAAUCAUGCAAGCCAUCAAGUUUUCUUUAACUCAAUUUGAAGAGUAGGGAUGGUAUCCAGUGUUCCUGAGCUUUAGAGACACGCUCAAACUCUCUCGGGACUGUGGGGUAAUUGCCAUGUGUACAAAGAUGAGAUAGCAAGCUAUGAGAGGUGUGGUGUUCCUGCUGCUGCUUUGAGUUUGUGGAGAGCCAACAUACAGCUCUUAAUCCAUGUACUUGGAAAGAUGUUUAUCAGCAAAAGUACUUCUUGCUUCUGUCUUUUCAUCCUACUUCACUUAGUUUUGGGUGCUGAGAGGCACAGGCUUAUAAUGCCUUAAAAAUUUUUAACUGGGACUGGUGGCUGAGAAGCAGUGUGACCAAAUGACGGCAGUGCAGCUAGAGACUUGCGGCAUCCUUCAGACUUGCUCCCCUGAGGAAAGAGAACUCCCAUUCAUUUUAAUGCAUCUACUUCCUCAGGUAAAGCUGCCUUGUAAAAUUAAUGGCGGGUGGUCAGCAUCUUUCCAUUGACCUGUAUGGCCAACAGAAAGAGGCACAUAAUGCUCUAGGGGCUUCUCUUAUAAAUAAAUAAAUGAAAUCUUAUAGGACUGAGUAGUCCCUUGAUCUGAAAGACCUUUUCUUUUGCUCGCCCACUCCACCUUCCUCCCUUCAGCCCCUGGAAGGAGAUACAGCUCUGAAAUCAAGACAGGGUUCUGUGAGAAGCUAUGCUCCUCAUAUGGGGCAGCUGAAGGAGUCUAGCAUCUGAUAGUAAUUGAUUAGUAAAUUAAAUUUUAACAACCUAGAGGCUGCACAUGGUCCAGCCCUGCUCCUCUAAUAUAAAUCAUUCAGAUUUGCAAAUAUGAAACACAUGUUUUCUGUCUGACCUUGUCUUUUAUGGAGUAGUGAAGAUUGCAAAUGCAGAUGCUCAGGUUCGUCUGCUUUCUUGGCUGCUGAGGCCAUAAAUGGCAGCUUUGCUGUCUGAGCCCACGUUACAUUGACAUUGCUUUGCAAACUGGAGAACAAAUACAGCACCAGGCACUGAAGCUGGGUUGGAUCCUGCUCAAACAGCUUUGCUCCCUUUAGUCCUUGUUCACCUGGAGCAGGAUGGUAACCCCAGUACUGCAGCACAGCUCCAUCUCCUCUCCCCACCGUAGGCAGGAGGAGGACACAGACUGCCUCUGUAACACAGCCAGCAGCAGAAGGCAGUCACCUGCCGUCUCUGCCUGCAGCAAACUGUGGGUUUUGCCUGUUUCCUAACUGGCCUGGCUUAAACCCAGCAGCCUUGAGGCAUGCAGUGUCUGACAGCUGGGGCUGGGUAGGUCCUUUCUCCAAGCUCCUUAUUUUAGCUGUAAGCUCUGAUGUGGACUUGGGCUUCACCAUCACUUACACCAGUCAACUUUUUCCUGCAGGUAUUUAAUAACCGGCUUAAUGAACAAUUGAAGACAGUUUUCCCCUGGAGGACUGAAGCCAGCCUGCUUUUAUUCCCCUCCCCCCCACC